UACAGAGGGGGCAAGCGUUGUUCGGAAUUAUUGGGCGUAAAGAGCUCGUAGGCGGUUUGUCGCGUCUGCUGUGAAAACCUAAGGCUCAACCUUGGGCUUGCAGUGGGUACGGGCAGACUAGAGUGCGGUAGGGGUGACUGGAAUUCCUGGUGUAGCGGUGGAAUGCGCAGAUAUCAGGAGGAACACCGGUGGCGAAGGCGGGUCUCUGGGCAGUAACUGACGCUGAGGAGCGAAAGCGUGGGGAGCGAACAGG
rnacentral:rRNA from 1 species